CCCGUUAUACGGCGUGCAAGUCACCUCAAUAUAGCAUUACGAUGUGAAAUUCCGAGGUUUCAAACCCUGAGUACAUCAUUUACAUCAAUUACUCACCUCAAACCGGCUACUUCUUUAGCUCGCGAUGCCUUUGACCCUCGAAUUGGCCUCCACGUGCGUCGAAUCUGCCCAAAAUCACAAUGAAUAUGUCGCAUUAUGCUAAAGGGACAAUACCCAAUCGAAAGCAAUCGAAAAAUAUCAAAAUUCACGAAUUUGACAAAACUCGAGCCCCGGGCCUACGUCUCAAAACUCAGAAAUUUUUACACCAAAAUGUUCUUCGUGCUCUCACGAGUCCGUACAUAUAAAGAACACAACAAUCAUAGCUCGUUUGACCCUUCAAAUCGACCCUAGAAAAUAUCAAAAGCACAAGCCCUAAAACCCCACUUUUCUACUGAUUUUCAUGUUCUAAUUCACAUAUAAUCUUGUAUUUAACUUGGAAAUAAGUAGAAACAACUCACCUUUGAUGCUUGAUAAAAUUCCCCUUGAAAUUCUCUCCAAAAUCAUCCAAGCCAAAUGAAAGAAAUGAAAGAAAUAAGCCAAAUCCGUGUUUAAAGAAUCUGCCUGUGCUUCGUCGAGUUGCACCUUGCACUUGUGCUAUACAAGUUGUACAUCCUAUUAAAAUUUUCCCUUGUCGGACACCUUCUGUUUAAACACCCAUAACGUCUUGUAUAAAUAUCCAAAUUACAAAAGGUUUGAAGAUUUAGAAACUAGACUCGAAGAUCAUUAAUUUGAUAUGUUGUACACCAUAUAACCCUUUAUAUAUACCGAGAUAUGAGCUUCUAAAGUCGGCUCCAUGAAAUCAGAAAAUUCUGGAGAAACUGCUCCACCAGUCAUCUUCAAUCGAUCAUAACUUUCUCUACAGAUGUCCAAAUUACGAUUUCCUUAGCUUUCUGGAAACUAGACACGAAGGGAUACAACUUUUGUUUUCGAAUCAUCUCCAAAUUCUUUGUAGAUAAAAUGAUAUAGGCCUCCGAAGUACGAUCCACAACUGCAUAUUUGCUGUCCAAAGACAGCUUAGCAGCAGAAAUUGCAGCAGCUUUUCUUUUUUUUUUGGUCCGAAUUCCAUUCCGUUAACCUUCCGAAAUCCACCCGAGGCCCUCGGGACCUUAACCAAUUAUAUCAACAUGUCCCACAAUAUCAUUCAAACUUGUCCCAACCUUUGGAACACCCAAAAUAACAUCAAAACAUCAAAUCAUCAUCGGAUUCAAGCCUAUGAAUCUCAAGAACUUCCAAAUUCCAUUUUUGAUCAAAAACCCAACCAAACCACGUCCGAAUGACCUCAAAUUUUGCGGACAAGUCCAAAAUGACAUAACGAAGCUAUAGCAACUCUCGGAAUUCC
rnacentral:lncRNA from 1 species